AUUUAAAUAGUUUAUUUAAAAUAUUGAUUUGUGGUGUCAAAGAAAAUUAAAUUUAGUUUUUAAAUU
rnacentral:tRNA from 1 species